rnacentral:rRNA from 1 species
GACGAACGCUGGCGGCGUGCUUAACACAUGCAAGUCGAACGAUGAAGCCGGAGCUUGCUCUGGUGAAUUAGUGGCGAACGGGUGAGUAACACGUGAGUAACCUGCCCUUGACUCUGGGAUAACUGCGGGAAACUGUAGCUAAUACCGGAUACGACCCUCGGCGGCAUCGCCAGGGGGUGGAAAGAAUUUCGGUCAAGGAUGGACUCGCGGCCUAUCAGCUAGUUGGUGAGGUAACGGCUCACCAAGGCGACGACGGGUAGCCGGCCUGAGAGGGUGACCGGCCACACUGGGACUGAGACACGGCCCAGACUCCUACGGGAGGCAGCAGUGGGGAAUAUUGCACAAUGGGCGCAAGCCUGAUGCAGCAACGCCGCGUGAGGGAUGACGGCCUUCGGGUUGUAAACCUCUUUUAGUAGGGAAGAAGCGAAAGUGACGGUACCUGCAGAAAAAGCACCGGCUAACUACGUGCCAGCAGCCGCCGCGG